rnacentral:rRNA from 1 species
GAUUGACCUCGGAUCAGGUAGGGAUACCCGCUGAACUUAAGCAUAUCAAUAAGCGGAGGAAAAGAAACCAACAGGGAUUGCCUCAGUAACGGCGAGUGAAGCGGCAACAGCUCAAAUUUGAAAUCUGGCUCCUUCGGGGCCCGAGUUGUAAUUUGCAGAGGACGUUUCGGGUGCGGCCCGGUCUAAGUCCCUUGGAACAGGGCGUCAUAGAGGGUGAGAAUCCCGUAUGUGACCGGUGACCAACCCCAUGUGAAACCCCUUCGACGAGUCGAGUUGUUUGGGAAUGCAGCUCAAAAUGGGUGGUAAAUUCCAUCUAAAGCUAAAUACUGGCCAGAGACCGAUAGCGCACAAGUAGAGUGAUCGAAAGAUGAAAAGCACUUUGGAAAGAGAGUCAAACAGUACGUGAAAUUGUUGAAAGGGAAGCGCUGGCAACCAGACCUGCCCCGGGCGAUCAGCGGGUGUUCUCACCCGUGCACUCGCCCGCGAUCAGGCCAGCAUCGGUUUCGGCGGUCGGAUACAGACCCGGGGAACGUGGCUCUCUUCGGGGAGUGUUAUAGCCCCGGGUGCAAUGCGGCCAGCCGGGACCGAGGACCGCGCUUCGGCUAGGAUGCUGGCGUAAUGGUUGUCAGCGACCCGUCUUGA